GGGAGCCUCCACCCAGGCGCAUGGCUCCAUGAAGCAAGAGGAGGAGGCAGAGCGCGAGAGAUCCCGUCCGCCCCAGCCGCGUCUGGGCCAGGAGAAAAGCAAAACCAUAUUCCUGCUGCUGUCAGUUUUGAUGCACUGAGAAAACUUCAGAGACCUAAGCUUUUUCCAGAGAAGAGAAGCUUUACUGGUGUUCCAGCCCUAAGGCUCAUAUGACAUUAACAGACAAGACACUUUUCAGAAAGACAGGGAACUGUGGAAGUAAACCAGGGGUGACAUGGAUUAUCAAAUAUUGUGGAUCAGGUGAGCUCUAGGCUUCUCAAUGCAAGGUUGUUCUUUUGGGCCACAUCUAAGAAAUCUUUGUCUAGCCAAAAGCCACAAAUAAUUUCUCAUUUUUUGGCUUCUGGAAGAUGUACAGUUAAAUGUUAUAUUUGGGACUGUUAUCUAAUUUGAUUAAAUUGCACUCUACAA
rnacentral:lncRNA from 10 species